AUUCCUUUUCAUAUUGUUACAACUAUAUUGUUGUAUUAUUACAAUUUCAUUCUCAUGAUUUUUAAUGUUCUAUUCUGAUUAUAUGACUUUUGUUUUAUUCUCGUAAAUUAAAACUAAAUCCCAGCCUGGCACUAAUACAGCGUCUGGCAGGUCAGUGAUGGGAAGAUAAAUUAUUUUAUUUGCCAACAGCUGACAUGUCUACAACGGCCACCAGAGGGCAGAAGAGCAGCGGACGCUUCAGACAUGAUCACCGGUAAAAUUAGAGGUUUGGAGGAGACAGAGAGUCAGAGCACCGGCAGAACCACAUCCCCACUCUGAUCAGCUCUGCCCUCAGAUCCGGUCCAUGAGAACCAGAACAGGAUCAGAAACCCAAAGUGCAGCAGGAGCGAGCCGAGCUGAUCACAGACUUUCACCAUAAUCCUCCACACAACGCCUCCCAGAACUUUAAUCUUCACAAGAUCCACAAAACAAUCUUUAGUAAUUCCCCAUCAACCAACCAGCAGCUACUGAAGGUAAAAAAUGCACCGAAAAUAGUUUUCCUGAAUGUUUCCGAAACAAAACUCAACACAAUAAAGUUUCUGGAUUUUC